UACGUAGGGUGCGAGCGUUGUCCGGAAUUAUUGGGCGUAAAGGGCUCGUAGGCGGUUUGUCGCGUCGGGAGUGAAAACCCAGGGCUUAACCCUGGGCUGGCUUCCGAUACGGGCAGACUAGAGGUAUGCAGGGGAGAACGGAAUUCCUGGUGUAGCGGUGAAAUGCGCAGAUAUCAGGAGGAACACCGGUGGCGAAGGCGGUUCUCUGGGCAUGAUCUGACGCUGAGGAGCGAAAGUGUGGGGAGCGAACAGG
rnacentral:rRNA from 1 species